AAUCCCCUCCCCCCUCCUCUGCCUCCACCCCAUUCCCCAGGAGCCUAGUACAGCAGCCUGGGACUUCUCUGCCCUGAUCUGCCACUAAGGUCCUGUUAUAACUGGGGACUUGCAAGAAACGAAAUGCUCUACCUUUCAAGCCUGGAGCCAGAGAAAACCCAGAAGCUAUCUUGACUUGGCUUCAUCUUGCCUAACACAACCAUUAGGGGAGGGCAGACCUGGUUUAAAAGGGCCCUGAACUGUAACUUGUGAAGAAACAUCAGCUCUGGCCUAAGACUGGGAAAAGGUUUCUGCAACAUUAACUUCAUUCAAACCAAUGAGCAGCCCUGAGGUGUGCAUUGUGGAGGUUAUUUGCCUGAGGAGGGUUGUGGGGCUCAGAGAGCUCCAGCAACUUGCUCAAGAUCACACAGCAAGUUAAUGGCCAAGCUGGAAGCAAGGAUCAAGACUCCGAACUUCCAGUGCAUUGUUGACAUCUUCUGCCAGAAUCAAGGCCGCUAUUUUAUUCAAGGAAUUCUUUAUGCUCAGUCCAUGUAGUUUGGAUUCCAGGUUGAACAUAUGAUUCAUGCCUGGCCAAUCAGAUCAUUCCAUUUCCCUGGUCACGGUGAUUGGUUCAGAGAUGGACAUAUGACCCAGGUCAAGCUAAUGAAUGUCAGCCUCAGGAUUUUUGCUGGAGCUUUGGCAGAAGAGGGGCUGUCUCUCUGCUGGGGUUGCUACAUGCAGAGCUACAUUUGGAGCUGCUGGUUGACUUUUCGCCAUGACAAAAAGCAAGCCUGCCUGACAACAAAGCUAAGACAGAAGGAAGUAGAGCUGAGAACUGGAGACUGGUUGAUGACCUUGUUUAAAAUGGAUUCAGUGAUUCAGCUACCCUUGGCCCUUUUGAUUAAAUGAACCCCCACCCCAAUUUUUUUUUUUUUUUUUGCUUAGGCUGGUUUGUAGUAGCAAGAAUUGUGACUGCUACCCAGAGUUGGCAGAGCCAAGCCUCCUAUCAGACUCUCUGAACAUUUCAUGGAGAUUUCAUUUCCACCCCCUUUGCUGUGCACUUGGGACCCUGUGUUAGGCCUUUCCCAGCUGCCCUAAGGCAGACUGCUUGUCUGGACUGCUGGCUCUCACCCUCCUCUCAGAGUAACAUGUCUGAUGCACCUAGGCCCCCUCUUCCCCCUCAGUACGAGCCCACUCCUCUGGGUGUGUUUAAUCCUAGAUUUCAGUUCCUGAUUAUCCAGGCCUGCUGCCUUAAGCCCUGUGCACACUUAUGACUGAAAUGGGGUCCAAGACAUGACCGUCCUUGUCCUUUAAUCUUUACUGAGCCCUUCCUGUAUGCCAGACUUUGUGCCAAGUGCGUUACAUGCGUAACCUCAUCUUCUCCUCUCAAUAAUCCUAUCAGGUAGGUUUUAUGAUUUUUAUUCUCCUUUCCAAGAAGAGGAAGCAGUGCUUAGGGAAAUGAAGUCAUUGGCCUAAGGUCAAGCAGAUGAGCCACUUACAGGUCGAGGCAGAGCUGAGACUGAACCAUGGAGGGAACUGACCCCAGAGCUGGUGCUCUUGGCCACAGCACCUGUGCUUCCUACCUGAGUGAGUAGCAGGGUCACCUGGGGCACUGGUGCCUAUUCCAUGGCCGGCCACCUCUGAGUGAGGACUGAGCAGCCCUGGGAUGGGAUCUGGGAAGCUACCUCUUUAACAAAUGGCCAGAGGAUGCAGAUGCACAGGUUCCCAGGACCUCCCCCUCAGAGUAGCCAUUAUUCCCCCAUUAAGGACUUUGGCCUUAGAAAGGAGUUUGGCAUUCCCAGACCUAUUUGUGCAGGACCUGAAUUUCUGCCCUGGCUUAGGAAUGAUUACAAUGCAAAACAAACUUCUUUGCUGACAGAAGGAAAAGAGAGAUCAAGGGCAUGUGGGAUAAGCAACUCAUGCCUGGGAAGAAAACAAACAAACAAAAAGAAUAACAUCAUGCCACUCUUUGGGGGUGGGACCGGGGGCUGAGGAUAUGUACUCUAAGAGGAAGAGGUGUAAACCAGGGCCUGGGGGAAAUUCAAAUUCUAUAGGCUUUCUUCAUUUUUCCCUGAAAAGAAAUGGCUCUUACUGCGCCCAAGGAUGAAGUUCAAAGUUCUUAACAGAACUCAAAGCCCAGCCUGUGCUGGUUGUGUACUCUUGAUACCUGGCUUUUAGGCAUGCUGUUCCCUCUACCUGGAAGGCUCUUCCUUUCCCUUCCUUCGCUUAAUGAAUUCCUAGUGAAUGACUUCCUAAUGAAUGAGAUUCUUCAGGUCCCAGCAUUGAUGGUACUUCCUCUGGGAAGUCUUGCCUGGCCACCAAAUCUGGCUUAGGUGCCCCUUCCUCAGUUUUGUUAGUUCCCUAUAAUAUAUUAUGAUCUUACCCUCGUAUUUUAUUUUCUGUGUCUGAUCCCCCCAGUAGACUAUGAGGUUCCUGAAGGAAAGCCCAUGUCUAUAUUCUCUGUUAUAGUCUCAGCAUCAGGCACAAAAUAACAAUCCAUUAAAUAAACAAACAAACAAACAAAUAAAUAAAUGUGUGAUGAAAUUGAAACAGGAAGCCCAAGGCAGUUAUUUGCAGUGAUCAUUUCAACCACUAGAUGACACGCCAUCAUGACAUCCCAUUUGGGAUGGGCUGGGA